CAGGUGUAGUGGGUUCUGUGGAAGGGUGUUUUAUUAAUGGGCGGGGUGGAGGGGAAUGAAGCAAAAGAGAAUGAGCUGAGAUACCAGACAAAAGCAAGCUUUUAUUCACUCUCCCAGUAAUUGGGGAGCCCUGGAGUGCAGGUCAUUAGUUUUUGAGCCACUGUGGUCCUUAAUUACUUAGUGCCUCCAUUUCCUCCUCUGUAUAGUGUACCUGUAUAGUUAUGAUAUAUCUAAUUUGCAAAAGAAGGCGUUAAGACAAGCUCCAUGAUGGCAGGAUGGGUUUGGCUCAUACAGCUUGGCACAUAAGUAAGCACUUGAGAAAUAGCAAGUGAGUGAAAGAAUAGUUGGGAAGUCUUUUUAAAUCAAACGACAGGACCUCUCAUAGUUCUUUCUUCUUGCUUCGGAGAACCGAAGGCUUGGUUAAGAACCCAAGGAGAACAUUCCAAGGUCCAAGAAACAUAAAGCUGGGUUCUGGAACACAGACCUCACCCAGGCCCACCCCUGGCCUUUUGGAAAGGUUUGGGGGAUAGCUGUUAGCGCUAGGGCAAUAGGACUCCUGAAUCCCUGGAAUUUCUUGUUGCUGUCUCUGCUGAACUCCGUUUGGACACCCUCCCCACCCCAGCUUCAGCCUCCAGCCAUCCAGCACCAACCUAUUUGGGAGGGAGGGACCUUUCUGUUUGGCUUAAGGCGGUCUGGGACAACAGUGGGGAGAAAGGAGUUAAAGCUGGGUCCCAGGAUCACAAGGGCUGGGAAGUUCCGGUGGCCCAGCCUGGAAUGGAAUGGGGAGACCAGCUAGGAAGAGCGGUUUGGGACGGAAGCGGGGGGCGGUGCCAGCCAUGCUAAUCCGCGCUUCGGUUCCAUCCGCGCUUGGCAUCCACUGGUAAACCGCACCCCCUCCCUCCCGCUCUCAGCUCCUUGGCAAGGUUUCUAAUGUCCCCCAGAGUGGCCACCCUCACCCUAGGCCAGUCGGAGACCUGAGCUCGCCGGGAGAGGCGUGCGUCCCUGCAGCCUCCCUCCCAUUGUCUGU
ensembl:lncRNA